UAGACCGGCUCCCCGAGCCCGGUCGCCAUGGAGCUGGCGCCCCGCGCACACGGGGUCCUGGCCGCAGCGACGGGCUGAAGUGCGUCGCGGGACCGCGACCCUCUAUCCUUCCGCGCCGCCCGGCGGGGAAGGGCCGGCAGGAUCUCCGAGAGCGUUAAAAGAGGGCGUCUUAACGGUGUUUCUGGACCCCCUUUAAAUUCUUGGCAGCUGUGGCAGGCCAGACUUGGCUAACAGCGUCAGUUCCCCCGAGCGAUCGGCCUGGCCGGGAGAGGCCGAGGAGAGGCUGCCCCGGUGUGGCCGCCGGUCGCCAUUGCCGGUGUCAACUCUACUGGGAACAAAACCAACUCUGCGCCCGCCCGCGCUGAGUACACACCCACCCACUUGAAACCCGGCUGCCUAGUUCUUUGAUAAAAGCUCGUUUGUGUGUGUGUGUGUGUGUCACAACGUGAAAUACCAAAUUCAAGUUUAAGUUUGUCCUUUACAUAGGCAAACGAUGGAGACUUAUUAGCCACCGCAGGAGUCUUCCCACGUUCCAGUUAGGGAGUUUCUCUAACAAGCCCUUCAUUUAAUCCUUCGAUGUACAGGAAUGCAAGAGGCUUCUUUAAAUAAGAAAUUCGUCACUCUGCUUUUUUUUUUUUUUUCUUCAAGAAGCCUUUGCUAGGAGACGGGCGUGUUGGUGCACGCCUUUAAUCCCAGCACUGGGGAGGUUGAGGGGGAUCUCUGUGAGUUCGAGGUGCAGCUAGGUCUGCAUAGUGAGUUCAGGACACCCAGAGUUACAUAGAGAGACACUGUCUUAAAAAAGAAGAAGAAGAAGAAGCCUUUUGUUCCUAAAAUGUUGAGUGCAGUGGUGAGUUAGAAAAGAAAACAGGAAGAACAUGCUCUUUGCCUUUAAAAAGAAAUCACCAGUGUCUGGUAUUGUCUGGGUGCUUAGAAUUUCCACCAAAGGAGGCAAGGAUUCACAGGAUCCGCAAACACAGCUGGCCUGCCCCAGCUUAGUGAUCGACGAUCUGCGGUGCACGCCACAAAUCAAAAGGAAAGGUGCUAGCGACAGCCCCAACGCCCGCUCUCUUUCCUCCCUUGCAAUGUGUCCCCUAGUUACGACUUUUCUUUGAAGACACAUUGCUCAGAAACCUCGGAAUUCAGAGCCAUUCAGUCUGUAUAGUGCUAGGAAGGACAAGAGAAAGUUUAUUACAGAUAUGUGGGAGAACAUAGCCAAAGGUUAUCAGAGAGUCCAGAAUGGGCAUGACCCUGAGCCAUUAGAGGAGAGAGGGAGGGGAAGAGAGAAAGAAGAGCAGCUGCCAACCAAGAGACUAGCCAAGAGGGUUGAUGAAAAGAUCAGGAAACUAAACUGGCUGGAUUAUGUAGGGAAGGGCAGUUGGCAGAAGGGAAGCCCAGCCCCUGGGCUGGAAAAGUUUAGGGUAGAGAGUGGGGUAUGCCAGCCAUACCCUGUAACAGGUAGGGACUGAGGGAUGCAGGGAGAAUCUGGCGGCCAGGUCCACUUUUAUAUGUUAAAUGGCAUUUCAUCCAUUUGUCCAGGGUUUGAGACCCAACAGGAGCCACAAGAUCCCUUCUGAGGAAAAAAAAAAAAAAAAAAGAAAAAGAAGAAUUGUGAAAGAGAA